GGGAAACUGCCUGAUGGAGGGGGAUAACUACUGGAAACGGUAGCUAAUACCGCAUAACCUCGCAAGAGCAAAGAGGGGGACCUUAGGGCCUCUCGCCAUCAGAUGUGCCCAGAUGGGAUUAGCUAGUAGGUGAGGUAAUGGCUCACCUAGGCGACGAUCCCUAGCUGGUCUGAGAGGAUGACCAACCACACUGGAACUGAGACACGGUCCAGACUCCUACGGGAGGCAGCAGUGGGGAAUAUUGCACAAUGGGCGCAAGCCUGAUGCAGCCAUGCCGCGUGUGUGAAGAAGGCCUUCGGGUUGUAAAGCACUUUCAGCGAGGAGGAAGGCGAUAAGGUUAAUAACCUUAUCGAUUGACGUUACUCGCAGAAGAAGCACCGGCUAACUCCGUGCCAGCAGCCGCGGUAAUACGGAGGGUGCAAGCGUUAAUCGGAAUGACUGGGCGUAAAGCGCACGCAGGCGGUCUGUUAAGUUGGAUGUGAAAUCCCCGGGCUUAACCUGGGAACUGCAUUCAAAACUGACAGGCUAGAGUCUUGUAGAGGGGGGUAGAAUUCCAGGU
rnacentral:rRNA from 1 species